rnacentral:rRNA from 1 species
AUUGAACGCUGGCGGCAUGCUUUACACAUGCAAGUCGAACGGUAACAGCACUUCGGUGGCUGACGAGUGGCGAACGGGUGAGUAAUACAUCGGAACGUGCCUAGUAGUGGGGGAUAACUACUCGAAAGAGUAGCUAAUACCGCAUGAGAUCUAAGGAUGAAAGCAGGGGACCUUCGGGCCUUGCGCUACUAGAGUGGCUGAUGGCAGAUUAGGUAGUUGGUGGGAUAAAAGCUUACCAAGCCGACGAUCUGUAGCUGGUCUGAGAGGACGACCAGCCACACUGGGACUGAGACACGGCCCAGACUCCUACGGGAGGCAGCAGUGGGGAAUUUUGGACAAUGGGCGCAAGCCUGAUCCAGCAAUGCCGCGUGCAGGAUGAAGGCCUUCGGGUUGUAAACUGCUUUUGUACGGAACGAAAAGCCCUCUUCUAAUACAGGAGGGUCAUGACGGUACCGUAAGAAUAAGCACCGGCUAACUACGUG